AGGGCAGUGGCGCAAUUGGCAGCGCGGGUGAUUCCAAAUCACUAGGUUGGGGGUUCAAGUCCUCCCUGCCCUGCCA
rnacentral:tRNA from 1 species